AGGAAUAUUGGUCAAUGGACGAGAGUCUGAACCAGCCAAGUCGCGUGAGGGAAGACUGCCCUAUGGGUUGUAAACCUCUUUUAUAAGGGAAGAAUAAGUUCUACGUGUAGAAUGAUGCCUGUACCUUAUGAAUAAGCAUCGGCUAACUCCGUGCCAGCAGCCGCGGUAAUACGGAGGAUGCGAGCGUUAUCCGGAUUUAUUGGGUUUAAAGGGUGCGUAGGCGGUUUAUUAAGUUAGUGGUUAAAUAUUUGAGCUAAACUCAAUUGUGCCAUUAAUACUGGUAAACUGGAGUACAGACGAGGUAGGCGGAAUAAGUUAAGUAGCGGUGAAAUGCAUAGAUAUAACUUAGAACUCCGAUAGCGAAGGCAGCUUACCAGACUGUAACUGACGCUGAUGCACGAGAGCGUGGGUAGCGAACAGGAUUAGAUACCCUGGUAGUCCACGCCGUAAACGAUGCUCACUGGUUCUGUGCGAUAUAUUGUACGGGAUUAAGCGAAAGUAUUAAGUGAGCCACCUGGGGAGUACGUCGGCAACGAUGAAACUCAAAGGAAUUGACGGGGGCCCGCACAAGCGGAGGAACAUGUGGUUUAAUUCGAUGAUACGCGAGGAACCUUACCUGGGUUUAAAUGGGAAAUGUCGUAUUUGGAAACAGAUAUUCUCUUCGGAGCGUUUUUCAAGGUGCUGCAUGGUUGUCGUCAGCUCGUGCCGUGAGGUGUCGGGUUAAGUCCCAUAACGAGCGCAACCCUUACCGUUAGUUGCUAGCAUGUAAUGAUGAGCACUCUAACGGGACUGCCACCGUAAGGUGAGAGGAAGGCGGGGAUGACGUCAAAUCAGCACGGCCCUUACACCCAGGGCUACACACGUGUUACAAUGGCCGGUACAGAGGGCCGCUACCAGGUGACUGGAUGCCAAUCUCAAAAGCCGGUCGUAGUUCGGAUUGGAGUCUGUAACCCGACUCCAUGAAGUUGGAUUCGCUAGUAAUCGCGCAUCAGCCAUGGCGCGGUGAAUACGUUCCCGGGCCUUGUACACACCGCCCGUCAAGCCAUGGAAGCCGGGGGUGCCUGAAGUCCGUAACCGCGAGGAUCGGCCUAGGGCAAAACUGGUAACUGGGGCUAAGUCGUAACAAGGUAGCCGUACCGGAAGGUGCGGCUG
rnacentral:rRNA from 1 species